CGUCGGGUUUCAGCAGCACUGCUGUGCCAGGCCAAAUAUAGCAUCCCUCCUGGGCCCAGCACAAGGUGCUGGCGAUGGCUGGGAGCUGCUGCCCUGGGAGCAGCCCCUGUUUUGCACAGAGCAGACAGUGGCUCCAUGCCUGUCCUACUCUUCCUGGGCUGUGGUGCCAAAACAACAGUGACUGCAAGCAGGGCACAGCCUGUCGCGUCCUCCCACGCCUGGGGACGGCCCGCUGGGGCUGUGCUUAAUGCCUGCUGUGAGCUCCUGUAGGAACCAUCCCACCCACAGGCACCCAUUGCUACAUGCCAGGAGAUGCCUUGCACCACUGGAGUUGAUAAUUGCAUCUGAGGGCUGAGCACACAGCCUGCAGCAUCGCUGCUGCCACACGGCUGGAGGUAGGAGAGCUCGUACAGGGGGCAGGCAGUGCUGUUAGCACACGUGGCAUCCCCUUGGCAGCACCACAGCACCCUCCCCAGUGAGAACCAGCAGCAGCUGAGGUGCACAGAUCCCUGACUGCUUCUGCAGCCUCCAACCCUAAGGCCAGGACUUAGAGGCCAUGUAUAAGGUUAUUCCUAUGAGGCUUGGUCAUCUACACAAACCAGCACACGCCUCCCCUCACCCAGUUCGGUUGUGCCAAUGACCGGGGUCACGUUCACACCCUGUUAACAGCACAACAUUUACUCAGAAAACUUUUAUUGUAUCAAAAUUCCACCUUACAAAAGUGCAAAGAAGAGUUGCUCUAGGCCCUGUGCCUGUCAUGCAGGGCCGGCGCCCAGUGCCCUGGCAGAGCGUUCAACCCUUUUCCAACCCAGUGGCCCUUGCACAGCAGUGGAUUUCAACACCUUGAGGUGCUGGUGUGCAAGGGCCCACAGUGAGCAGGCAGUCUGGGCCUCUGCCAUUAGCAAAUGAUUUGGACAAGUGCUCCCAGCAAGGAGGAAGCAGGAUGGCAGCACGAGAUCCCUGUCUCCAUCCCUGGCCACGCCAAAGGUAAGUUCCAGCUUCCCAAAGUGACAUCCCCCAGGCAGCGCUGGAGAAGUGACCAGAUCUCAAGCUCAACCCCUUUAAGAACCAUGUGUGUGGGACAAAGUAUUAUAACCAGAAAUGGAGCAAAGUGAACUCUGUGAGGGGCUGAGGGAGGAUUACUUCCUGCAUCAUCCUCCUGGGGCAUCACCGUGUGCCCUCCCGCACAGUUCCCUGGUGGCACGCUGGCAGUGCCUCUAGCUGUGGGCUGUCAGGAGCCGGACCAGCACGCCCACCAGCAGCACAGCAAGGGCAGCAGCAGCAGCCAGCACCCGGCAGACAAUCAGGGCCCUCCAUGCCACAGCAGGAGGAGCAGGGACAUCCUCUGGCUCUUCCUGAGUGAUGAGCUGGUGAUCUGGGAGCCUCUCGCCUCUUCCCACCAUGCUGUCAGGCAGCACCACGGUCUCCACGUUGUCUGUGUCUACAGAGAUGUAAUCUGUGCAAGAGAGGUGAGUGCUGUAGCGAAGCUGAGCUGCAAAGCCUGCAGCCCCCAUCUGCCCCCUGUCCAGUCCUGAGGGUCCUCUCCCGAGGCUCAGGGCUGAGGGAAGAUGCAGGUGUGCUCUGGCUCUCCCUUGGAGCAGCCAGGGUGGUGACAAGGGUAACGGCCACCAGCACAGACACUGUGCUCUUUCCAGAUAUCAAAGCUGGAAGAACAGACACCACAGCCGUGGCUGUGAAGGAGAGGAAGGGCUGGGUGGAGGAUUUGUGCUCCCUCCCUGUUGUAAGGCAUGGUUACGUACCUAUAGCAGAUGUUUUGUUAGCAGCUGUGCCAUUGGAGUUCACAUCUUCCAGCUGUUUUUUCAGACCAGCUCGGACUUGAGCCUAAAAGCACACACAAGAGUUGUUCUCAGAGCAGAGAUGUGCUGCCCAGCCAAGCAAACCCGAGCCUCCUCCCUGACCCUCCCAAAGCAAGCAUGCUUAGCCCAAACUGCUCCAGUGCUACAGAAGAGGACAGAACUGGUGUCACUUUAGCUUCCCACAGACAUCUUUACUGCUAUUCUGGGGCAAAAGCUGGCAUAACACCUACUAAGAGUUACUGCAGGGAAGCACAAGUCUUACCUCUUCUGCAGCUUUCUUCCAAUCCAUGCGCAUGACAAAAGCGGAAAAGGAGAGGGAUUGCAAAGAGAUACAAAGGAUCAUCCCUACCCACAGACCUGCCAGAAUGGAAAUGAAACUUCAUUGAGUGCUGAUGGAAACCUCACUGCUUUCAUGGUCAAAGUCACGGUCAAAAUGCCAAACACAGCCAGAGCUGCAGAGCUGAGCAGAGGAUGCACGUACCCAGCACCCCCAUUUUGGCUGCAAACAUCAGUGAGAUGCCGAUGGGCAAACCGACAGCGUAAUAACCGACAGCGUUGGCGAUGGCACCCAGCUUCUGCUUCCCUGUGCCUCUCAGCACACCACCACAGGUUGCCUAAGGAAAGCAGCAGGGAAGAGGGAGAACUUGAGAGCUACAGAAGAGUUGUUUUGCAGCAGUGCCAAGCACAGGGGAUGCUGAGGUGCUACGGGUGAUGCAAGCUGCUGCUGUGACAGUUUUUUCAGUUUGCUUUUCUGUAUUGUAAUAGAUCAGGAAAGACCUAAAGGCAGCUUUGCACUCCCCACUGUACCUCUACUUGCAGGGAGGAAUUGCUCCCCAUGCUGGGUUACUCACUGCUGCUGCAUCAAACAAGUGGAAUGGAGCAAAGAUGAUCAUCACUUUGGACACCAGCAUAACGAUCUCCCUGUGAGAAAGACGUAUGUACUGAUCAGGGAAAGCAGCACAGCUUGGGCUCAGGGCACUCUGGUUCUGAUGCAUCUCCUGGGCCAGCUGCAAACCCUGAUCCCAGCCUCUGAGCUGCUCCUGGGCAGAUCAUGUUACCCAAAACGGUAACAAAACCCCAAAGAAAGCUGCCAACCCACUUGUCACUGGUGAAGAUGUAGCCCACCACGUCUUUGAGGGUUCCCAGUAACGUUGCAACCACCACAGCAAAAACUCCUGAAAGAAAAAGAAGUGGAUGAGCCUCAAAGGCUGCAUCUGCUGCUCUUGAGCAGGUCCAGACCUCAGGGGCUUCACGUGAUGGGGAUGGGGCUUGGCAGACCUCCAGGUAUUACUGCAGAGCAGGACAAGGCUGCUGUCCUUACUUUGCCCCUCGAUGCUCUAUCCACCAUCUGGAGGUGGAAGACAGAAUGCUAAAUUGCACUUUAACUAUCAAAGCCUUUGCACUAGGUUCCUUCUUCCCUGGCAGAAGAGCCAGGGUCUCACCCUGUCCAAACAGAGUAAUCUGAACAAGUGGGCUUGGGUUGCUGGGAAUGGUCACCAGUCCUGUGAGAGGUGAACUGAACCUAUUGCUGAUAAUUCUUUUAUUCCCCUCUGCAGGGACCUGGGCUGACCUGCGCACAGCAGAGCAGUGAUGCAGGACGUCUUGGCUUGCACUACAUCCCCUGAUCCCAAGGCAUUGCCCACUCUGAUGCUCACGGCCACACUGAAGCCCAGAGGCACCUGAGAAGCAACAGACAAAGAAGAGCACUGCCCAAGCUCCCAAGCCUGCAGCCAAGACCCAAGCUACCAUCCAGCAAACACCAGGAAGUCCUUCAUCAGUGUCUGAGGAGAAAGCCAAGAAGGUGGCUCCUGCUUCAGGGCCUGCAGGGCUGAGACCUGAUGUGCUGCUGAUCAGAGAGGAGUCACACUCAAUCUCACUCUGACCUGGAGACCUCGGGGUCCUGCCGGAGGAGCAGGAGGAUCUGCUCAGUGUUGAUGAGGAUCGCCCAGCAAGGAAAGCAAAACAGCAGCAGGAUGAGGAUCCCUCGCUGCAGGAUGGUGCCCACUUGCUUCAGGUUUUUGCUGCCAUAUGUCUACGUGAGGACAGAGGACCAAACAGCGGCCACCACCAGGCUGGUUGGGUUUAACUGGCUCUCGGGUGCAUUGUGCUUCCCUCUGCUAUCCAUCCUCCCACCUUUUGUGCCCCAAACCACACCACACAGGAGGUGAGACAACCCCACCAGUAACAAGGAAGAGGGAGCUGCCACCAACCUGGGACAUCAGCGUGUCACAUGCCGAGGCCAGACCAGAACCAACGGAGAUGCCGAUCACAUUGAUGACCUGGAGGAGAUACGAGUGACUUGGGCAAGUGAGAAUCACAGGGAACGUGGCCCAAAGCACCAUAUCUCUCCCUGUUGGGAAGGG